GUUGGAGAAAAUUCAGGUUUAGUUUCAAUGAUAUUGUAUAGCUCACCGAAAGCUCGAGCUACGAAGAGAGCCAGACAGCCAGAACCGUGGCUUCGUCCAGAGCGGCGGAGAAGCGAGAAGAACGCCAGGCAGCCCUGGAACUGGAGAACCAGAACGCACGGCCUCCCAGCGCGCCUGAGCCACCGCAAGAGGCAGCUAUGACUCAACAAGAUCAGCGUCGGCAAACAUUUGCAAGAAACUUGUGGAGUGUUUUUGAAAAAUGUGCUUGUGGCUAUGAUCAAACUUUAGAACAUAGUAGCUAACCACAGACUCAUAAAAAUUAACAGAAUGAAUCAUUCAUGCAGUCAAGAACAAACACUAAAAGUGGCAAGAAUACAUCUGGGCACCCGAUGUUUUUCGCACGGACUAUAUGCUGGCUGCUCGCGUGUAUCGAGAGCCAAAAAUCUCUACAAUAUAAGCAGAAAACAUCUCUCGAAACAUUGUUUACAAAGACGAAUUGCAGUAUUUUUUUGGCCCUGAAAACACCCCGAAACUAUAACAGUCUUUUAACCCCCGUGUUUAGGCCCCCUGUCUCAUACAAUACCAUUACAUAGUAUCUCUUGACAAUGUGUGAGAAAUGUCUUACAAUAAGCGGUUUUGAUAACAGAAUUUCUUUCAACUUUUUUUUUUUAGUUCUAUCGUAAAAAAUAGUCAUUCUUAGUGUUUUUAUAGUCCCAACUCUAAAUUAUAACAAAAAAUAAUAAACUUUGGCCAAGUGCGAGUCGAAACGACAUAGCGCUGCAUAAUGUGUGGUACGGAACACUUGGUGUGCGAGUCCGAACCGGACUUUACCGGUUAUUUGGCAAUUUAAAGUGUUAAACCGCGGGAAACCCCCCGGGGCGCAGCUAGUAACGAGUAGAAUAGAGACAACUGUGAGAAUUGCAGAUUUUCGUCGCCAUGUUUGGUCCAAAUAUGGACUUGCAUUGUGUACUAUUUUGUUUAGUUUUAUGGUUCCUUUGCAUCACUGAAUAUUUUGUUUUAUAGUUCAAAGCGUAUUAUGUAUCUGUGUGAAGUUACACUUCUAACACGCAUGGAUGUCACGCACAUACUUUUUUAAUUAAAAAGAGUAAACGCAACAGUA